GGUUAAGUUAGAAAGGGCGCACGGUGGAUGCCUUGGCACUAGGAGCCGAAGAAGGACGGGACUAACACCGAUAUGCUUUGGGGAGCUGUACGUAAGCGUUGAUCCAGAGAUUUCCGAAUGGGGGAACCCACUAUCUUUAGUCGGAUAGUAUCCUUACGUGAAUACAUAGCGUGAGGAAGGCAGACCCAGGGAACUGAAACAUCUAAGUACCUGGAGGAAGAGAAAGAAAAAUCGAUUUCCUGAGUAGCGGCGAGCGAAACGGAAAGAGCCCAAACCAAGAAGCUUGCUUCUUGGGGUUGUAGGACACUCUAUACGGAGUUACAAAAGAAAGUUAUAAAUGAAGCGGUCUGGAAAGGCCCGCCAAAGACGGUAACAGCCCGGUAGUUGAAAUGGCUUUCCCUCCAGAGUGGAUCCUGAGUACGGCGGAACACGUGAAAUUCCGUCGGAAUCCGGGAGGACCAUCUCCCAAGGCUAAAUACUCCCUAGUGACCGAUAGUGAACCAGUACCGUGAGGGAAAGGUGAAAAGCACCCCGGAAGGGGAGUGAAACAGUUCCUGAAACCGUGUGCCUACAAGUAGUUAGAGCCCGUUAAUGGGUGAUAGCGUGCCUUUUGUAGAAUGAACCGGCGAGUUACGAUUUGUUGCAAGGUUAAGCGGAAAAAGCGGAGCCGUAGCGAAAGCGAGUCUGAAUAGGGCGCAUAAGUAACAGGUCGUAGACCCGAAACCAGGUGAUCUACCCAUGUCCAGGAUGAAGGUAAGGUAAUACUUACUGGAGGUCCGAACCCACGCACGUUGAAAAGUGCGGGGAUGAGGUGUGGGUAGCGGAGAAAUUCCAAUCGAACUUGGAGAUAGCUGGUUCUCUCCGAAAUAGCUUUAGGGCUAGCCUCGAGGUAAAGAGUCAUGGAGGUAGAGCACUGUUUGGACUAGGGGCCCUUCUCGGGUUACCGAAUUCAGAUAAACUCCGAAUGCCAUGUACUUAUACUCGGGAGUCAGACUGCGAGUGAUAAGAUCCGUAGUCGAAAGGGAAACAGCCCAGACCACCAGUUAAGGUCCCCAAAUAUAUGUUAAGUGGAAAAGGAUGUGGGGUUGCUUAGACAACCAGGAUGUUGGCUUAGAAGCAGCCACCAUUGAAAGAGUGCGUAAUAGCUCACUGGUCGAGUGACCCCGCGCCGAAAAUGUACCGGGGCUAAACAUAUUACCGAAACUGUGGAUGAACCUCUUUAGAGGUUCGUGGUAGGAGA
rnacentral:rRNA from 1 species